rfam:Streptomyces vitaminophilus strain ATCC 31673 Contig8, whole genome shotgun sequence.
CGGCGGGGCAACCCCGCCCCGCCGAACUGACACCGGUACCUGACACGGCCGGUGCAG